rnacentral:rRNA from 1 species
AUCCUGAGUACGACGGAGCACGUGAAAUUCCGUCGGAAUCUGGGAGGACCAUCUCCUAAGGCUAAAUACUCUCUAGUGACCGAUAGUGAACCAGUACCGUGAGGGAAAGGUGAAAAGCACCCCGGAAGGGGAGUGAAAUAGAACCUGAAACCGUGUGCUUACAAGUAGUCAGAGCCCGUUAAUGGGUGAUGGCGUGCCUUUUGUAGAAUGAACCGGCGAGUUACGAUUUGAUGCAAGGUUAAGCAGUAAAUGUGGAGCCGUAGCGAAAGCGAGUCUGAAUAGGGCGUUUAGUAUUUGGUCGUAGACCCGAAACCAGGUGAUCUACCCUUGGUCAGGUUGAAGUUCAGGUAACACUGAAUGGAGGACCGAACCGACUUACGUUGAAAAGUGAGCGGAUGAACUGAGGGUAGCGGAGAAAUUCCAAUCGAACCUGGAGAUAGCUGGUUCUCUCCGAAAUAGCUUUAGGGCUAGCCUCAAGUGAUGAUUAUUGGAGGUAGAGCACUGUUUGGACGAGGGGCCCCUCUCGGGUUACCGAAUUCAGACAAACUCCGAAUGCCAAUUAAUUUAACUUGGGAGUCAGAACAUGGGUGAUAAGGUCCGUGUUCGAAAGGGAAACAGCCCAGACCACCAGCUAAGGUCCCAAAAUAUAUGUUAAGUGGAAAAGGAUGUGGCGUUGCCCAGACAACUAGGAUGUUGGCUUAGAAGCAGCCAUCAUUUAAAGAGUGCGUAAUAGCUCACUAGUCGAGUGACACUGCGCCGAAAAUGUACCGGGGCUAAACAUAUUACCGAAGCUGUGGAUUGUCCUUUGGACAAUGGUAGGAGAGCGUUCUAAGGGCGUUGAAGCAUGAUCGUAAGGACAUGUGGAGCGCUUAGAAGUGAGAAUGCCGGUGUGAGUAGCGAAAGACGGGUGAGAAUCCCGUCCACCGAUUGACUAAGGUUUCCAGAGGAAGGCUCGUCCGCUCUGGGUUAGUCGGGUCCUAAGCUGAGGCCGACAGGCGUAGGCGAUGGAUAACAGGUUGAUAUUCCUGUACCACCUAUAAUCGUUUUA